UCCAUUGUAGCUCAGUCGGUAAAGAAUAUGCCUGCAAUGCAAGAGACCCAGGUUCAAUUCCUGGGUCUGGAA
rnacentral:tRNA from 1 species